rnacentral:rRNA from 1 species
GCUGGUGAUCUUCGCGCGGGGGCCACACCCGUUCCCAUUCCGAACACGGCCGUUAAGCCCCGCAGCGCCGAUGGUACUGGGUCGCUAGGAUCCGGGAGAGUAGGUCGUCACCGGCG